rnacentral:rRNA from 1 species
AUGAAGUUCCUUCGGGGAUGGAUUAGUGGCGAACGGGUGAGGAACACGUGAAGAAUCUGCCCUCCACUUUGGGAUAACUCCGGAAACCGGGGCUAAUACCGAAUAUUGAAACAUAAGCGGCAUCGCUGAGUUUUGAAAGAAUUUCGGUGGAGGAUGACUUCGCGGCCUAUCAGCUUGUUGGUGAGGUAAUGGCUCACCAAGGCAACGACGGGUAGCUGGUCUGAGAGGAUGAUCAGCCACACUGGGACUGAGACACGGCCCAGACUCC